UAGGGAAUCUUCCGCAAUGGGCGAAAGCCUGACGGAGCAACGCCGCGUGAGUGACGAAGGUCUUCGGAUCGUAAAACUCUGUUAUUAGGGAAGAACAAAUGUGUAAGUAACUAUGCACGUCUUGACGGUACCUAAUCAGAAAGCCACGGCUAAAUACGUGCCAGCAGCCGCGGUAAUACGUAGGUGGCAAGCGUUAUCCGGAAUUAUUGGGCGUAAAGCGCGCGUAGGCGGUUUUUUAAGUCUGAUGUGAAAGCCCACGGCUCAACCGUGGAGGGUCAUUGGAAACUGGAAAACUUGAGUGCAGAAGAGGAAAGUGGAAUUCCAUGUGUAGCGGUGAAAUGCGCAGAGAUUUGGAGGAACACCAGUGGCGAAGGCGACUUUGUGGUCUGUAACUGACGCUGAUGUGCGAAAGCGUGGGGAUCAAACAGGAUUAGAUACCCUUUUAGUUCACGCCGUAAAUGUUGUGUGAUAACUGUUAGGGGGUUUCCGCCCACUAUUGUCGCACAUGAGGCAUUAAGCAGUCCGCCUGGGGANCAUGACCGCAAGUCC
rnacentral:rRNA from 1 species